AAACAUGUCAAAGUCUUGUUUAUAUUUACAAAAUUGUAUUGUGGGAGAAUUUUAUUAUUUUUUUUGUUAUUGGAAAAAAUAUAUUUAUAUGCCGUGUCAGCUCCAUCAUUCCAUGAAAGCAUGGAACAGUUGUCGUGUCACUCGUCCACCAGCCAUAACAUAACCUCGCACUUGGCAAGCCCUCAAUUAAAUCAAUUAUCUUUCGAACUAAAACAGCAAUUAUAUCUUCCAUCCAAAUACGAAAUGGAACCGACACUGGCCCCCACCGAAACGUCGGGCCAUGCAUGAACAACAUUCAAACUAAGAUGUAGAAAGAAGAUGUCUAUCGACAAGGGAAGAAUAGUCAAUUAAAGUGGGCAAUUAAAUGCACGCACUUUGAGAAUCAAGAAAUCAAUUAAAAUAUUUGUUUAACAUACACGUGGAGCGGCUGCAGAGCUCUACCCAACACCUUGGAAAAAGGAAAGAGAAAAAAAACCUAAGAAAUUCAAAUGAUGGAGUCCAAAUUUUGGGUAAAUUUUUAAACGUGAGGCGUUCAAAAUAUUUAAACCAAAAAAUUUCCAUUUCCCGAAGAAGACACAAAAAAAAAUGUGAGCCAUAAUUAACCGCAUGCAAUGGCAAUGGUAAUGGCAAAAACUAUUAGGAGCCACCCCAAAAAGCCAACCAACUCUCAGUUGGAGAUGGCACCCUCCAACAAGCAGCCUGGUGGUCCCUUCUAACGCUUACACCCAAUUGUUAAAACACGAAAACAAUUUAAAAUAAUAUUUCGGCCCAGGAUUUGUACAGGCAGCAGCCAGCAGGCUCUGUACAAAAGCCAAACUGUUCACCUCCACUAUGCUAGCUAGACGGCUUUAAAGGAAUAUCUCACGGUCGUAAAUUAAAAGAUAAAUCUUCGUUAAUUGUAAAUUGAGAAAAAAAAAAGAAAUUCUAGCAAGGUCUGGGGGCAGCCCAGCUUGUUUAGAAGAGCAGCAUCGACAGCAGCAAA